GAUGAACGCUGGCGGUAUGCUUAACACAUGCAAGUCGAACGGACUCUUCGGAGUUAGUGGCGGACGGGUGAGUAACGCGUGAGAAUCUGGCUUUGGGUUCGGGACAACCACUGGAAACGGUGGCUAAUACCGGAUGUGCCGAGAGGUAAAAGAGAAAUUGCCUGAAGAUGAGCUCGCGUCUGAUUAGCUAGUUGGUGAGGUAAAGGCUCACCAAGGCAGCGAUCAGUAGCUGGUCUGAGAGGAUGACCAGCCACACUGGGACUGAGACACGGCCCAGACUCCUACGGGAGGAAGCAGUGGGGAAUUUUCCGCAAUGGGCGAAAGCCUGACGGAGCAAUACCGCGUGAGGGAAGAAAGCUCUUGGGAUGUAAACCUCUUUUCUUAGGGAAGAACAAAAUGACGGUACCUAAGGAAUCAGCAUCGGCUAACUCCGUG
rnacentral:rRNA from 1 species